AGUGAACGCUGGCGGUAGGCCUAACACAUGCAAGUCGAACGGCAGCACAGUAAGAGCUUGCUCUUACGGGUGGCGAGUGGCGGACGGGUGAGGAAUACAUCGGAAUCUACUUUUUCGUGGGGGAUAACGUAGGGAAACUGACGCUAAUACCGCAUACGACCUACGGGUGAAAGCAGAGGAUCUUCGGACCUUGCGCGAUUGAAUGAGCCGAUGUCGGAUUAGCUAGUUGGCGGGGUAACGGCCCACCAAGGCGACGAUCCGUAGCUGGUCUGAGAGGAUGAUCGGCCACACUGGAACUGAGACACGGUCCAGACUCCUACGGGAGGCAGCAGUGGGGAAUAUUGGACAAUGGGCGCAAGCCUGAUCCAGCCAUACCGCGUGGGUGAAGAAGGCCUUCGGGUUGUAAAGCCCUUUUGUUGGGAAAGAAAAGCAGCAGGUUAAUACCCCGCUGUUCUGACGGUACCCAAAGAAUAAGCACCGGCUAACUUCGUG
rnacentral:rRNA from 1 species